GGGCGUCCACACCCUCACCGUGCCCCCGCCUCCCUCUCCCGUCGCCGCGCAUGCACACCCCGCCUCCCAGGUCCCAGCAAAAUCUCCGGCGCAUGGGGACCGCCGCCGCCGGCCGCCCCACCCGACACCUCUCUGAUUCUCUCCCUCUAUAUAACCUGACCUGAUCUCAAGGUGCUGCUCGAAGCUACCCUAAACCGCCGCCGCCGCCGCCGCCGAUUGCUCGAGCUCGCUUCUUUACGGCGGUUCUGCAUCUGCGUGCUGAUAUCUUCUUGUCAUGUUCUCUCGUUCUGUGCUUCUGUGAUUUUUUCCUAUUUUCUCUCAACUGUACCAGGGAUUGGUUCGUAGCUCGGGCUGAUGAUGAUUUGGAUCCGAAAGGAUCUUAGCGGAUUUCGGUGAGGCAGAUUCGUCCGCCGCUGAUCGCCUUAUGUUGUUACACACACUGAAGCCCUUUCGACGCGUCUCUCAGAUUGGUUCUUUUCCCCUUUCGUCUCUUUGUCUAAUUUCUCACUGGAUGUUGCUGCAAUGCGAUGAUGAUUCAUAACAUGGUUUUGGCAGUGGUUACCCCUUGUGGUCACCGUGAGCCGUCAAACCUGAAAACGACUUCUCUUUCCACUGAGCAUUGCGAAUAAAAUGCAGCGUAUUAUCAUCGGGCAAUUGAAUUUAUCAUCAAAUCCAUACUGGUUCUAGCAAAAAAAAACAGAUAAUUUCACGUGAGCCUGAAGUUUCUGAAAACUCAAUGCAGCUUUCAUGGAAGUGACUUUAUGGCACCUGCCAAUUACCAGUCGCCCCAUUUUUUAGGAACGAACGCACCUUUCCUCAACACGGCCUGAAUCGCAUAGCCAAGGCCAAACAAAUUAUUGGAUAAAACCUGCAUGCAAUAUCGUCUGACAGCAGGGAGCUUCAGCGCCACCUGUUGCUUCACCUUGCCGCCUGAAACCACAACGGCGUCGUCCCUGGCCAGAGCGUUAUCCACCGGCCGAUCUGAAUGUAGCCUGUCUAGCAGUUCCGAGUUUCUGUGGCGGGGUUGAUCAUUGUUUGAUCAAGUCGUCCUUGGCCAUUAUCAGAUUCGGGCAUCAUUGCGAGUUCCAUGUUGGCUACCUUCAUGUUUGUGCUGAUGCCUUUGUAGCAAGUGGCUACCUGGUCGCAUUUCCAUGAAAUAACGAUGAGGGAAUUGUUUGUUCUAGGUUUGGUAAUGUAUUUUCCAGGUUCUGAAAAAUGAUUAAUGAGUUCAUAGCCUUAA